rnacentral:piRNA from 1 species
UACCGUGCCUGUUGCUGCCGACAAACUCC